rnacentral:lncRNA from 10 species
CUGGCUGCCUGCUUCCCAGGGAAACACACCUGUAUCAGAGCAUUUAACCCACCACUCUCACAUUCCACCUCUCCCUGGAAGAAAAACCUGUUUGCCAUUCUGCUGGCUGGCUUCCUUGUUGGUGCAGGUAGAAAGCCAGGCUCUGGGAACCCAGCAGACAUGCUGUCAGGAGAACUUCCUUUGCAGUGGGAUGUGAGCUGAGGCAGCGGGAGACCACUGGUUUGUGUUAUAUCCUCUGACUCGACAGUGAGCACAGGGACUCUCAAAUGUGACAUUUCUCCUAUUGGUGCUAUCUAUGCCUGUCCUUUCAGCCAGGUGGAUCAAGUCAUUUGCUGCAUCGUUUUACAUUGUGGAAAACCUCCUUUAUGUCUGGCUUAAUACGACACGCUGAGGUUCCCGUACCUGUUUCUGCCUUCAAACUGUUCCUGCGGGCUGUUUUUGGAAGAAAAUCUGGUCUCAUAUGGAUAUGUGGUUGGAAAAGGGAAGACCUUGUGGGACCCCCUGAAAUGGCCAGGGGACCUUAGACCAUACUUCGAGAAUCAUCACCUUUCAGCAAUGGUUUAAAUAAGCCGAGAAAGCUUUCCUCACCUUCAUGUAACAGCUGAGGAAACUGAAGGCUCUGAAAAUGACAUGAUGUUGUGAAGAUCUUACCCUGCUUUAAUGCAGGAGGCAAGGCUAGGAACUGGCUCUUCUGUCUCCUGCUUUGGGGCUAUUUCCAUUACUAAAGGAAACAAGAUUCAUGAUGCUCCUAAAGUACAGCCUCCUUAAGAGUUCCUUUCAUGAAGGUCCCCAGUUUGUGAUAGUUUUGCAGCCUUUCUUUGUCUUUCAUGGUCUGGAUGAUUUUGAGGAAUGCUGGUCCGAUGUUUUGUAAAACAGCCCCCAAGUUGGAUUUCUCUGAUGUUUUCUUAUGGUUUGACUGGAGUUAUGGACAUCUGGAGGAAGAAUACCACAGAGGUGCGGUGGCUCAUGCCUGUUAUCCCAGCACUUUGGGAAGCUGAGGCGUACAGAUCAUUUGAGACCAGGAGUUCAAGAUCAGCCUAGGCAACAUGGCAAAACCCCAUCUCUACUCAAAAUACAAAAAUUAGUCAGGCAUGGUGGCUCACACGUGUAGUCCUAGCUACUGUGGAGGCUAAGGAACGAGACCCACUUGAACCUGGGAGGGAGAGGUUGCAGUAAGCCAAGAUCGCACCACUGCACUCCAGCCUGGACAACAGAGCGAGAACCUGUCUAAAAAAGAAAAAAACCAAAAAUCAAAAACAGGGUUCUCUCUUCUCUAGCAUUUAUUUAUUAUUAAAUCAUUUAUUUAUAUCAGAUUUUUUUUGUUGCUCAAAUUGUUACAGCUUUGGCUAUAGGAAGCUCAUUCAGUGUGGCUCUUGUGCCUUUUGAUUUUUUUUAACAUAAAGUACUUCCUUACUUUCUGGCACAAGGUGCUUUAGGUCCAUCUCAUAUUUUUUCUGCCCUUGACAUAGCAUCACACAUUUUAUUGAGGUUCCUUUUAUUGGACAUUGGCAAUUAGAAACCAAUACCUGGGCAUGAAGUGUCCUUAUUGCCCCUGGGUGUCAUUGCUUCUAGUUCCUCUCAGUGGACAGAGCUAGAAAAUUAUGCAUAUAUACUAAUCCAUGUAAACACAUACCUCCAUCUACCAGGUAGCUUUCUAUCUAUCUACUAGGAUCCGAAUGUUUGUCUUCUUCAAAACUCAUGUUGAAGCUUAAUCCCCAAUGUGGCAGUAUUGAGAGGUGAACCCUCUCAGAGGAGAUUGGCUCAUGAGGGCUGCCCUCAUGAUAGAUUAAUUCACUCAUGGAUUACCGGAUUAAUGGGUUAUCAUGGGAGCAGGUCUGGUGGUUUUAUAAGAAUAGGAAGAGAGACCUGAGCUAUCAUGCUGUGCACAGCCUCAGGACUCUGCAGAGAGCCCACCAGCAAGGAGGCUCUCACCAAAUGUGGCCCCUAGACCCUGGACCUCCCAGCCUCCAGAACUGUAAGAAAUACAUUUCUUUUCUUUAUAAAUUUUGCAGUCUCAGGUAUUCAGAACAGAUAGCAACAGAAAACAGACUGAGACACUAUUUCUCUCUCUCUCUUUCUCUAUCAAAAUAAAUAUAAGUUCAUACUGAUAUCUCAGACUCCAACCCAACAUACAUUGAGUUCUUAAUUUGGACAAUCAUACAUUUUUUCUCCAACAGUUCAAUUGGGUUCAUUUGUAGUCUGUCACCCAUUUUAAGUGUACCAUCUGUUGAGUUUUGACAAACGUAUAUACACCGUGUAACUGUCACCACCACAAUCAAGAGAGAGAGCAUUUCUAUCGCCCUCAAAGGAUCCGUUAUGCCAUUUUCCAAUAAAUCCUCACCCCAGCCCCAAUCAUUGUCUUACAUCACUAUAGAUUAGAUUUGUCUUUUCUAGAAUUUCAUUAAAAUCAGAAUGGUACAUAUGUAUUCUUUUGUGCCUGGCUUCAUUUGUUCACUGUAUUAAUUUCCUAGGCUGCUUUAACAAAGUACUACAGACUGGGUGGCUUAAAACAACAGAAAUGUAUUCUCUCACAGUUCAGGAGGCCAGAAGUCUGAAAUUAUGUUGUCAGUAGAGUUGGUUCCUUCUGGGGGCUCUGAGGGAGACUCCAUCCCAUGCCUGUCUUCCGGUUUCUAGUGGUUGCUGGCAAUUCUUGGAACGGUUUGGUCUGUGGCUGUGUAACCCUAAUCCCUGUCUCCAUUUUCUCAUGGUGUUCUUCUCUAUUCCCAUGUGCCUUUCAGGAAUUUAGCAUAACUUCAUCUUAACCUGAUUACAUCUGCAAAGACUAUUUCCAGAUAAGGUCACGUGUACAAGUACCAGGGGUUAGGAUUUCAACAUAUCUUAUAGGGGGACACAAUUCAAAACACUCAGCAUAACAUGUGAGAUUCAUUCACGCCCCUGUGUGUACAUGUAGUUUGUUACUUUUUAUGGAUAAGUAGCGUUGCACAGCAUGUAUAUACCACAAUUUGUUUAUCCAUUCACUCGUUGUGAACACAUGAGCAGUUUCCUGUUAUGGCCUAUUAGGUUUUGGCCUGUUAUGAACGAAGCUGUCCUGAACAUUGAGGCGCAAGUCUUCAUGUGGACACAUGUUUACAUUUCUCUUGAGUAAAUUCCCAGGAAUGGAAUGACUGGGUUGUGGAGUAUGUACAUUUAACUCUUUAAGAAAUUGUCAAACUUUCCCGCAAAGUGGUUGUAGUACUUUACAUUCCUACCAGCAACUUAAGAGAGAGUUCCAGUUGCUUCACAUCCUCAUCAAUGCUUGGUAUUGUCAAUCUUUCCAUUUUAACCAUCUGGGUAAGUCUGUGGUGGGAACUUAACUUGUUGUGGUUUUAAUUCGUAUUUCUCCUACGACUAAUCAAGUUGAGCAACUUUUCAUGUGUUUGUUGUCCAUUUGCCUAUUUUCUUCUGUAGGAUACAGUAAAUUCCUCUUCAAAGUUUAGCCUGUUAACUUCCUUUAAAAUUCAAGAGGGAGAAAAACUGUUAAGUACAAUGAGUUCUGAGUUCCUCUUCAAAGAACCAAUAUGUCAGUAUGUUCAGCUUCCCUGUUCUUUGUUCUCCAUUUUAAAAUUUAACUUCCUUGUUCUUUACCCUCCUUGCCCCUAGUUUUAGUAAACAACCCCUUCCUAGCCUCUAUCACCUGUUUUGUCCUUAGGCACCCUUAGUCACCUGCUCUGUAACUGUCCUUCCCACCGAAACUACUCACCCUGCCACUCUGGCUCAUAUCCCUGCUCUCUUUAAAACAGCCAGUCGGAAUUAGCUUAGACUGUGUGGUCCAACCCUAACCAAUAGGGGAAAGACACAGCAAUAGGGACUAGCUGCAUUAGGAUAAGAACCCCUUUCCCCUCUCUUGUCUGGUGUGCUCUUGCCAUUGCUCCAAUUUACCCAAUAGAAGUAAAUUGCCUUGCUGAGAAAACUUUUGCCUGAGUGCUAUUUUCACUUUGUGGCACCGAGCAUUUACUUCCAACACUUCCAUGAAGUGUCUAUUCAACAUUUUUACCCAUGUUUUAUUGGGUUGCUUUUCUUAUUAUGAGUUUUGAGAGUUCUUGAUAUAUUGUGAAGGUAAGCCUUUUGUUGGCUAUACAUAUUGUAUUUUUUCCCUGUGGGUGGCUUGCCUUUUCAUUUUCUUUCUUUUUUUUUUUUUUUUUUUUUUCACAGGGUCUAGGUCUGUCACCUAGGCUGGAGUGCAGUGGCACAAUCAUGGCUCAUUGAAGCCCAGACCUCCCAGCUUACAGCUCCUGGUAAUUGUUCCUUCUCCUGGUGUUCCUUGCUCAGCCUUGGGAUGCUGCACAGACUGGAAGGUUGCCCAAGAAACCCUUUCCCCUCAACCUCCUAAGUUGCUGGAACCACAGGCACAUGCCACCACACCUGGCUAAUUUUUUUAAGUGUUCUGUAGAGAUGGGGUCUCCCUAUGUUGCCCAGGCUGGAUCUUUACAUUUUCUUAAGAUAUCUUUCCAAGAGCAGAAAAAAUCCAUUUUAAUUAAGUCCAACUUAUGAAUUUUUUUAUUUCAUGGUUUAUGCUCUUUUGUGUCCUACCUUAAGGGCAAAAAAACUGUCUCCUAUAUAUUCUUCUAGAAGUUUUAGUUUUUGUGCUUUGGUCUGUGUCCAUUUUGAGUAUUUUUAUGCGUGGUGUGAAGCAAUGAGGCCGAAGUUGGAUUUUUUUUUUUCCUCUAUGGCUAUCCAAUUGCUGCAGCACCAUUUGUUGAAAAGGAAAUUCUUUCCACAUUAAAGUGUCUUAGAAUCUUUGUCAAAUCAAUUUAUUACCAGAUGCAUGUGAAUUUAUAUCUGGAUUUUCUAUUCUGUUCUAUUGAUCUAUAAAUAUGCCUAUUCUUAUGCUAAGAUUAUAUGAUCAUGGUUACCUUAGCUUAAAAUAAGACUUGAAAUCAGUUUAAAUUUCUAACUUUGCUCUUCUUUUCAAUACUCUUUUGGCUAUUACAGAUUCUUUGUAUUUCCAUAUAAAUUUUAGAAUCAGCUUGUUAAUUUCUACCCAAAAAAAGCCUUCUGGGAUUUUAUUAGGUUUACAUUUGUGAAAGGAAAAAAUAAAUCUUGGGGACCCCAAAUCACUAAGCUGAAAGGAAAAGUCAAGCUGGGAACUGCUUAGUGCAAACCUGCCUCCCAUUCUAUUCGAAGUCAUCCCUUUGCUCACUGAGAUAAAUGCAUAUCUGAUUGCCUCCUUUGGAAAGGCUAAUCAGAAACUCAAAAGAUGCAACCAUCUGUCUCUUAUCUACCUGUGACCUGGAAGCUCCCUCCCCACUUCAAGUGUCCUGCCUUUCUGGAUGGAACAAAUGUACACCUUACAUAUAUUGAUUGGUGUCUCAUGUCUCCCUAAAAUGUAUAAAACCAAACUGUUCCCCAACCACCUGGGGCACUUGUCACCAGGACUUCCUGAGGCUGUCUCCUGGGCGCGCAUCCUUAACUUUGGCAAAAUAAACUUCCUAAAUUGACUGAGAUCUGUGUCAGAUAUUUGGGGUUCACACAUUAAAUCUGUAGAAUAGGGAAUAAUUGACAUGUUUACAGUAUUGAAUCUUCUGAUCUAUGAGCACAAAAUAGUUUCCAUUUGUUUGGUAGUUUUCAGUGUGUAGGUCUUACACAUAUUUCAUUCCAUUUAUUUCUAAGUAUGUUUGGAUACUAUUGUAAGCGGCAUUUUUCCACUUCAACUUCCAGUUAUUCAUUGCUAGUAUAUAGAAAUGUAAUUGAUUUCUAUAUAGUAACCUUGUAUCCUGCAACCUUGCUCACCUCACCUAUCAUUUUAGUAACUUCUUUAUAUGUUUCUUGAGAUUUCCAAAGUACGCAAUUGCAAUGUUUGAAAUAAAGACAGUUAUACUUCUUCUUUUCUGAUCUGGAUGCUUUUAUUCUUAACUUAUUGCAGAGGCUAAGACUUCCUGCAAAAUGUUGAACAGAAAUAAUGAUGGGAGACAUAUUUUUCAGUAAAAGAUGCCAAAAUAAUAGGAUAGCUGUAUGAAAACAAAUAGGUAAAGAAACAAACAAACACAAAAAACCCACAAAAGCCUCAAUGAUUCCUAGCCCUGUGUGAGCAUUGGGAUUUUUUCAGCUUACAUCUCCUGGUAAUUGUUCCUUCUCCUGGUGUUCUUUGCUCAGCCUUGGGAUGCUGCACAGACUGGAAUUUAGCCAAGGAUUUGAGGGGAUUCCAUGCAGACUCUUGGAGCCCUUUCUCUGCAUAACCUCCUUUUCUCUGGUACUCUGCCCUGCAAAUUGCAGGCAUCUCAGCCUCCCCAGACUUACAUUUCAAUCUCUUCAGCUCAGUGAGACCACUGAACUCUGAAUUCUCCCACCCUGUUUUGCAUUCCAGAAAUUGCCUCCAUGCAGAAAAUUGGGGUAAGGUUGAUCUGAUCUGUUUGUAUUCUUUCAAGUGCUGGGUUUUCUAUUAACCUACAUCUUAAAACAGUUGUUCUAUACAUUUCCACCCCAGUUUUCUAGUUGUUUACUAAGGGAGAAAAAGUCUAGACCUUGCUACCUUCUCAUGGCAUGGUCAUUUUUGUUAGUCUCCUAUUCUUUGCUCAUUUUUUUUUUUUUUUUUGGUUCUGCGAACCCAGAAAAUCUGAGACAGGCCUCAGGUAAUUUAGAAAGUUUAUUUUGUCAGAGUUGAGGAUGCGCCCAUGACACAGCCUCAGGAGGUCCUGACGACAUGCGCCCAAGGUGGUCAGGGCACAGCUUGGUUUUAUGCAUUUUAGGGAGACAUGAAACAUCAAUCAAUAUAUGUAAGAAGUACAUUGGUUCCGUCUGGAAAGGUGGGACAACUUGAAGCAAAGGCAGGAAGACUCAAUGUGGGGGAAGGAGCUUCCAGGUCACAGAUAGGUGAUAGACAAACACACUCUUUUGAGUUUCUGAUUAGCCAUUCCAAAGGAGGCAAAUCAGACAUGCAUCUAUCUCCGUGAGCAGAGGAGUGACUUCGAAUAGAAUGGGAGGCAGAUUUGCCCUAAGCAGUUUCCAGCAUGAGUUUUCCUUAGUGAUUUUGGGGGCCCAAGAUGCUUUCCUUUCACAGUUCCAUCUUGUAUUUCUUUAAAUAUUUCAAACAGUUAUUUAAUUGUCUAUAUCUGAGAAUUCCAACAUUUGUAGUCUUUAAGGAUUUAAAUCUGUGGUGACUUGUAUCCUUACGUGUUUGCUAAUUUGUGAUUGUGACUUAGUCUUUGGGCAUCACAAGUCUCUCAGGUGGGAAUGCCUUCCUCUAGAGGUGAUUUUUGCUUGUUUGGCUGAGAGUCAGAGAAGUACUUCUGACCUGGAACCUCUGUCCCAGACUUUAUUUAGGAGUAUCCAUUUCAGCUCCUCCAACUUGCAGGUGGCUCUCUGCUAUUGCCAAUAAAUGUAUUUACCCUCAGGUCAAUAUCACUGAUAUGGACAGAAGGCAGGGAAAUAGUGGGUAUAAGAGUGUGGGGUCCCUGGUGAGGGCUCCAUCCUCAAGCCUGGACCUGCAGCCCUAAAUGAGACGAUGCAUUCCUGUUUUCCCACCCGAAUGUUGCCUUUUCCAAAACCACUCUGGCCUGCCACGCCCCCAACUCCGUACCCAUAAAAACACCAAACUCCACUGGAAGAGGAGCAGAGUGGUGUGGCAGAGGACAGAAGAGAAGUGUCUGAAUGUUGAGAGAAGAGGCGGCUAGACAUUGGAGACUACGGUUGGAGAGGAGUUCAGCUGGGGAUGUUCGGAGAAGGAAGAUUAUCUUCCCAUUCCAUCCCCUUUCCAGCUCCCCGUCCCAUUGAGAGCCACUUCCAUCACUCAAUAAAAUCCUCUGCACACACC